rnacentral:lncRNA from 1 species
GGGGCUUUUUGGAAUAGUUUAUAUUCUUGGACAAAAAAUAGUCCUUUAAUGCCCUUCUCCUUUGCUUUGAACAAUUUCUCAUGAAAUUUUAACACAAAAUUUAGAUUGAGUUCCCUUUAUAAGUAAUUUUUUGGAGUCUCUUUCAAAAGUUGCAGGACCUAUCAGAUUUAGGGUAUUUUUCACAUCUAUUAAGCUUGAGUGUGCUUAGAGUAAAUAAUCUAGAUCUAUACUAAGUGUCUUUCAGUUGUUUGUAUGUAAUAGUACCUGACCAUGCCCCCUUUUUCUUGGUUUUAUUUAUUUCUACUUGUAUCCAUCUCAUGAUGAGUUAAGAUUUAAGUCUUUUUCAACUGAAUUUUAUAGUUUGUUUUUAUUUUGUACUCUUACACCACUGUCCCAGGUAAGGGGAGGGUUGGGUCCCAGCGAACAUGUUUAACCCGAUACAUUAUGUAUGUCUGUGUCUGUCCCAAAUCAGGAGCCUUUAAUUCAGUGGUUGUUGUUUGAUGUGUCACAUAUUUGUUUUUCGUUCAUUAUUUUGUACAUACAUGUAUGAUAAAUUAGGCCAAAUUUCUAGUUUUAAUUGUUUCACAUUUGUCAUUUCAGUGUAUUUUAUAGCUCUCUGAGUGGUAUGGGCUUUACUCAUUGUUUAAGACUGUACUAUGACCUACUAUAGGCUACAGUUGUUAACUUCUGUCAUUUGGUCUCUUGUUGGAAGAGUUUUCUCAUUGGCAAUCAUACAACAUACUCUUUUUUUAUAUUCACAGUUUAUAGCAUAAACCAUGUAGUUGUAUCCACAAUUUGAUCAUAUAAUUUAUAUCACCAUAUAGGAAAUAUUAGUAAUUUAAAAAAAAAAAACGUUUGUGAGUAUUUGCUUUAAUAUAU